GUCUGGAUCUGCUCACGCAUCAGGACCUGUGGAUGAGAAACCGGGAUUAAUCAAAGGCACAUUGCAGGAGUGGGGUUUGAACCCACAAUUUCAGAAUUUCUGAGACAGCACACUUACCCACUGAGCCACUCCAGCACCCAAGUUACCCACCUCUUAUUCAGCAUUAUAAAGCGUACAGUGUGAAACAUCCAAGACAAACAUAAAGGGGACCCGGGAAUCGAACCGGGAACCUCAGCAUUGAAAGACAACGACGAUACCGCUGCGCUACCUACAUCAUCGUAGACACACGGCUGCUUCAGAGGGUAGAAGAAGAUGAGAUCACAGACACCCAAGACACACCUGAAUGAGAUGCAGGAAACGAACACAGAAACGCUUUCAGGUGCGCACAAUGGUGAUUAGACAUUUUUGGGGGGGGGCGUGGUCUGGAGUCUAUCCAAGCAUGCAGUGAGUGAGAUGCAGGAUUGUACUCUCAACAGAUGAAGGCCUCCUGAAAAUGAAAUUAAACGAAAUUUUACAAAAAGAUUCAUACGUUUAACGAUGAGGUAUACAUUUUGCGGAAUGCGCAAUGUAGCUCCAGUCCAUAAAAUGUACAGAGAACCUAAGAAAUGACCAUUGUCCCCUUUAUUCGAAUGAUUACGUUUUGACCAACCGUGACGCAUUAUUUGUAUUUUUGAAAGCAUCGGAUUUGUAGUCAAUAAGUAGUUGCGAUUGCUAAAUCGGAUCUGACGUUGGACUUCGAAAGGCCAUGUGCUGCACAACAACAGUGCUCGACCGAAAGGGAGGGCACCUGCUCUGGAUCUAUGGGGGACAUUGGGGCAGAUGAAAUUCCAUACAACAACAUACAACGUGACAGUUGAUUAUCUUUCUUGGGCUGUGUUAAUGGACCCUGCCAGGCUCAGGUCUGGAUGCAGGCAUCUAGUUAAUAGGAGCUGAGCAGACUCGGGGAGUGCUUCGGAGGCAUCGGUGCUGGGCUUCAUAUGUCCCCUGGUUCAGAAUGCUGCUCCCCGACUCGUCUUCAACCAAGUUCUCCCAAGUCACUCCUCUGCUGAGUUCACUCCACUGGCUACCGGUCGCUGCCAGGACCAGGUUCAAAGUCCAGAUCCUCGCCUACCCUGCAGCCAACAGGACGGCCCCCGGCUACUUACAGGACAUGAUUCAAUCCUACACGCCAGCUCGACCACAGGGCCACUUGCACCCCUGCCAUUCGGAUGAAUCUGGGAUAAUUUUUAUCACUUAAAUUCCCCUCUUUUAUGCUACACAUGUACCUCCUCUGCCAAUUUCAUGUUACCUGUACUGCCAUCCAGCACUCAUACUGUACUUUGUAACAUUAUCUUAAUGUUGUAGCUUGUCAUGCCUCCUAGUUUUACUUAGCAGAGUUUAGG